rnacentral:tRNA from 1 species
ACCUGGAUGGCUCAGUCAGUUAAGCAUCUGACUUCAGCUCAGGUCAUGAUCUAAUGGUUCCUGGGUUCAAGCCCCACUUCGGGCU